rnacentral:rRNA from 1 species
GAUAUUGGACAAUGGGGGCAACCCUGAUCCAGCCAUGCCGCGUGUGUGCAGAAGGUCUUCGGGUUGUAAAGCACUUUAAGUUGGGAGGAAGGGAUCUAGGUUAAUACACUAAAGUUUUGACGUUACCAACAGAAUAAGCACCGGCUAACUCUGUUCCAACAGCCGCGUUAAUACAGAGGGCGCAAGCGUUAAUCGGAAUUACUGGGCGUAAAGCGCGCGUAGGUGGUUCAGUAAGAUGGGUGUGCAAUCCCCGGGCUUAACCUGGGAACUGCUUUCAUAACUGCUGAGCUAGAGUACGGUAGAGGGUAGUGGAAUUUCCUGUGUAGCGGUGAAAUGCGUGGAUAUAGGAAGGAACACCAGUGGCGAAGGCGACUACCUGGACUGAUACUGACACUGAGGUGCGAAAGCGUGGGGAGCGAA